rnacentral:rRNA from 1 species
CGAGUGCCUCAAGCGUUAUCCGGAAUUAUUGGGCGUAAAGGGGUGCGCAGACUGUCGCGUUAGUCUCAUGUUAAAGCCUACGGCUCAACCGUAGAAUCGCAUGGGAAACGGCGCGACUUGAGCAUGUGAGGGGUCUAGGGAACUCUAGGUGUAGGGGUGAAAUCCGUUGAUAUCUAGGGGAACACCAAAAGCGAAGGCACUAGACUGGCACAUUUCUGACGUUCAUGCACGAAAGCGUGGGUAGCGAAUGGGAUUAGAUACCCCAGUAGUCCACGCCCUAAACGAUGAUCAUUUGCUAUGGGGAGUAUCGACCCUCUCCGUGGCGGAGCUAACGCGUUAAAUGAUCCGCCUGGGUAUUACGGCCGCAAGGCUA